GUUUUUUAUCUAGUUUUAUUUCCGCAGACUUAGAUUUGGUUAAUGAACUUGUUAUCUAGGGUUAAUUUAUUGAGCAUGCCAAUCACCUGUAAACUGAGGAAACGAAACUACUCAAUUACCCCAUCCUUGGGAAUUCUUUAUCUGAUUGAAUUCUUUGUUUACUCUACUAAUGUUUACUACAUCUUGUCAUCUGUUGCUUAGUUUCUGCAAUUCUUUACUGUUACUCGACCUAAUACUCGACCACCCAGUUGUCUGGCAACACACUGUGCAGUCGAGUAUCCCUGUUAUACUUUCUGUCUGUUACUCGACCUAUCACUCGACCUCACCCAGUCCUCUGCAAAGAGCUGUGUUGGUCGAGUGUUUUAUUGUUUUUGCUUGAAUUUCUGUUUUCUGCAUGUUCACUUAGAACUUCUAGAACACACCAAGACCUGUUAUUGCUUGGCUUGACUUAGUGACUUCUGAUCACAUCUUGAUUGUUAGCCUCACACCCAUUUGGAUUGACAACCUUCAGUACUACAACGACAUGAUAGUGUUUUAGGAUUAAUUGAUUUU
rnacentral:sRNA from 1 species